rnacentral:rRNA from 1 species
AGUGAACGCUGGCGGUAGGCCUAACACAUGCAAGUCGAACGGCAGCACAGUAAGAGCUUGCUCUUACGGGUGGCGAGUGGCGGACGAGUGAGGAAUACAUCGGAAUCUACUUUUUCGUGGGGGAUAACGUAGGGAAACUUACGCUAAUACCGCAUACGACCUACGGGUGAAAGCAGGGGAUCUUCGGACCUUGCGCGAUUGAAUGAGCCGAUGUCGGAUUAGCUAGUUGGCGGGGUAAAGGCCCACCAAGGCGACGAUCCGUAGCUGGUCUGAGAGGAUGAUCAGCCACACGGGAACUGAGACACGGUCCAGACUCCUACGGGAGGCAGCAGUGGGGAAUAUUGGACAAUGGGCGCAAGCCUGAUCCAGCCAUACCGCGUGGGUGAAGAAGGCCUUCGGGUUGUAAAGCCCUUUUGUUGGGAAAGAAAAGCAGCAGGUUAAUACCCCGCUGUUCUGACGGUACCCGAAGAAUAAGCACCGGCUAACUUCGUG